rnacentral:lncRNA from 1 species
GACUUGGUUAUCUGCUUCUUUUUACUUCUCCAGGUUUUGAUUUGUUUUGUUUUGUUUUAUUUGCGGGGGGAGUGGGAUACAUUUUGUUUUAAACAGAUAUGUGUAUUUGAUAGGUGGGAUUCUGGGUCAGUGAUAAAAAAGGAUUGUAACAGGAUUGAUGGCACUUAGGGACAUCUCAUCCAACCGGGACUUAAAUUUCACACUAGAAAUGAGCUCCAGUCUUAACUCAGUGAAUGGGAAACACAUGUUCCUCUCUCCAGGUUACACUGAAACCUGUGUAGUGUGUACAGAGUGGGUAGGGACUAAACACAGGCCUAGCGUCUAUGAGUCUGUAUUCCUGCUCAGUCAUCAACUUGUGUUCCUAUUGAACAUUUGAUCAGAAUGAACUUGCCAAUCAAAACAAAAACAGGACAAUCAAUUUAAGACAACAGAAAUAGAGAUUGUUAAAUAAAACCAUUAGUAUUUU